CGAGUCAUGUGGGCUGGCAG
rnacentral:misc_RNA from 1 species